CCCAGUUCGGAUUGCAGCCUGCAACUCGGCUGCAUGAAGCUGGAAUCGCUAGUAAUCGCGAAUCAGAAUGUCGCGGUGAAUACGUUCCCGGGUCUUGUACACACCGCCCGUCACACCAUGGGAGUUGGAAAUGCCCGAAGUCAGUGACCCAACCGAAAGGAGGGAGCUGCCGAAGGCAGGUCUGAUAACUGGGGUGAAGUCGUAACAAGGUAAC
rnacentral:rRNA from 1 species